GUGCUCGCUUCAGCAGCACGUGUACUGAAACUGGGACGAUUCAGAGAUCAGCAUGGCCUCUGUGCAAGGACGACACACAAAUCAGUGAAGUGUUUCAUAUGUUU